CCGUACCAUAGGAAAAAAACCCCUUGUAGAUAUUUCAUCAAUAUAUGAAAACAUAAAAUGAAAAAUAAAAGAGAGAAGUAAAAUACCUAAAACAUUCAUGAGAAAAAUUUAUCACAUAUCUCAAUAAUUAUUAGUGGAGUUUUAAAUAUUAAAUUUUAAUUAAGUAAUUAAUUUUUAAUUUUAUUUAGUUUUGAUAUGCUGUUAAUUUCUUAGAAUCGGGAUCUAUAACUUAUUCCACCAUUAUCUAAAAAUUAUCUGAGGAUAUCCACACACUGUUACAAUAUACCACCGAGAUAUAUAAACUAUAUAACAGUAAACACUAUUUGUAACUAAACCAACGUUUUAAAAUAUACACAAAACCGAACACUAAAUAACACAUCAUAUGAACCACGUCGUGGAGGCCUAGUGGUUUCCACUAGAGAAGAAGUUGCCUUGUUGGUCCAGGCCAGGGAUCGACUCCCUUCUAGUGCGAAAUUAUUAGCUCCACAUGUGGCCACGCGGAUAUGGGCUCAUGCUUACGGCCCAUUUGAAUACCCGGGAGAGGAUCCAUCCGUGGGUUGCACCUCCCACCCGGGAGUUAGGUCUGUGUCUUUAAUAGACCCGGGUUUAACCCUUUUAGUUGCAAAAAAAAAAAAAAAUAACACAUCAUAAGAACUAGAUUUUUUCAUAAUCCCAAGUUCACAAGUAUA
rnacentral:lncRNA from 1 species